rnacentral:rRNA from 1 species
AAAAUUUAGUUGAAACUUUAUUUAAAGUCUUUGGGGUUAAUUAUUUAGUUGGUUGCCCCAAUCAUAUCUUAACAAUUUAUUUUAUAACAAGUCUUUAAAAUCAUUUAAUUAAAUUUAAAAAACAACUUUUGACAACGGAUCUCUUGGCUCUCGCAACGAUGAAGAACGCAGCGAAAUGCGAUAAGUAAUGUGAAUUGCAGAAUUCCGUGAAUCAUCAAAUCUUUGAACGCACAUUGCGCUUCCUGGUAUUCCGGGAAGCAUAUCUGUUUGAGAAUCAGUAUUAAUAUCAAUUAAUCUUCUUUUUCAUUAAAGAGUUUUAGUUGGAUUUGAGGAUUUACUCUUUAAACAGUAACCCUUUAAUUAAAUUAAAAGUUUUUUACCAAAUGGUUAACAAAAACUAAAGCAUGACCAAUUCUGUCUCUUUAUUGAGACUUUUUUGAUUAUUGCCCAAGGUCAAGUUGACAGAAUUUUGUGUAGGAAAGUUUCAAACUUAAUACGAGAGUAAAAUUUCACAACUUUACUUUUAAGACUCGAUCUCAAAUCAGAUAAGACUACCCGCUGAACUUAA